UAUCUCGGCUCAAUCCUUCAAGUAGAUGGAGGAUGUGAGGAGGAUGUUAAUCAUAGGAUUAAAGCCAGAUGGUUGAAGUGGAGAAGUGUCAUAGGAGUGUUAUACAAUCGCCAAAUUCCCAAUAAGUUGAAAGAAAAAUUUUACCGUACAGCCAUGUUAUAUGGUAAUGAUUGUUCAUAUUAUAUGGUAGUGAGUGUUGGACAAUGAAAGAGCCGUAUGUGUCUAAGAUAAGCCGUAUGUGUCUAAAAUACCACUUUUUAGACAGUAAUGAUUCCUAUAUAACCAAUUUCAAAAGUACCCUAAGUCACUUCC
rnacentral:misc_RNA from 1 species